AUUGAACGCUGGCGGCAUGCCUAACACAUGCAAGUCGAACGGCAGCACGGUCUGGUUUACCAGAUGGGUGGCGAGUGGCGGACGGGUGAGUAAUGCGCAGGAAUAUGCCUUAAAGAGGGGGAUAACUUGGGGAAACUCAAGCUAAUACCGCAUAAUCUCUGAGGAGAGAAGCUGGGGACCUUCGGGCCUGGCGCUUUAAGAUUAGCCUGCGUCCGAUUAGCUAGUUGGUAGGUAAAGGCCUACCAAGGCGACGAUCGGUAGCUGGUCUGAGAGGAUGACCAGCCACACUGGAACUGAGACACGGUCCAGACACCUACGGGAGGCUG
rnacentral:rRNA from 1 species